GCUGGCGGCGUGCCUAACACAUGCAAGUCGAACGCGAAAGGGGCUUCGGCCCUGAGUAGAGUGGCAAACGGGUGAGUAACACGUGGGUGACCUGCCUUCGAGUGGGGGAUAACGUUCCGAAAGGAGCGCUAAUACCGCAUGACAUCCUGCUCUUGGAAGAGCGGAGAUCAAAGCUGGGGAUCGCAAGACCUGGCGCUUGAAGAGGGGCCCGCGCCUGAUUAGCUAGUUGGUGGGGUAAUGGCUCACCAAGGCAACGAUCAGUAUCCGGCCUGAGAGGGCGGACGGACACACUGGGACUGAGACACGGCCCAGACUCCUACGGGAGGCAGCAGUGGGGAAUUGUUCGCAAUGGGCGCAAGCCUGACGACGCAACGCCGCGUGGAGGACGAAGAUCUUCGGGUCGUAAACUCCUGUCGAGCGGGAAGAACGCUUCCCGGGUGAAUAAUCCGGGGAAUUGACGGUACCGCUAAAGGAAGCCCCGGCUAACUCCGUGCCAGCAGCCGCGGUAAUACGGGGGGGGCAAGCGUUGUUCGGAAUUACUGGGCGUAAAGGGCCAGUAGGCGGCCAACUAAGUCGGAUGUGAAAUCCCCAGGCUUAACCUGGGAACUGCAUCCGAUACUGGAUGGCUU
rnacentral:rRNA from 1 species